UACGUAGGGUGCGAGCGUUGUCCGGAAUUACUGGGCGUAAAGAGCUCGUAGGUGGUUUGUCGCGUUGUUCGUGAAAACUCACAGCUUAACUGUGGGCGUGCGGGCGAUACGGGCAGACUGGAGUACUGCAGGGGAGACUGGAAUUCCUGGUGUAGCGGUGGAAUGCGCAGAUAUCAGGAGGAACACCGGUGGCGAAGGCGGCUUUCUGGUCCGAUUCUGACGCUGAGGCGCGAAAGCGUGGGGAGCGAUCCGG
rnacentral:rRNA from 1 species